GUAGCUCUGGUCCUACGUGUCAGAGCUCAGUGGAUGGAGGAGGAACAGGUGAAAAGCAGAGCUCAGUGCCUAGCGGUCAGCUCCCUUGGAAGUCCUGCUGAAGGACCAGGUGGAACAUGAGAACCUGAGCACCUGCAUCAGAUCCUAGAGGAGGAGAAGACUUUUCUGCUGUCACAGAUUUACUGGCUGGGUCAUUAGGAAGCUGAAGCAGGGAAACACUAUGUUCCCUCCACGGAGCCACAGUUGAACAAUCUCAGGGAGCUCAUUGGUUCCCUGAAGAUCAAGCAGAAAAUGCCACCCAGGCAGCUGCUGGAGACCACCUGCAGGCUGAUAGGGAAAGAGAUGAAAACAGAUUCUUCAAAAGCAUGAAUGAAAACGACAUGAAGAGCUGUAAGUGAGAAAUGAUGGUUGUUGCUCCUGCCAUUUGGGGAAAGUGAGAA
rnacentral:lncRNA from 13 species